rnacentral:rRNA from 1 species
GAUGAACGCUGGCGGCGUGCCUAAUACAUGCAAGUCGAGCGAACGGACGAGAAGCUUGCUUCUCUGAUGUUAGCGGCGGACGGGUGCGUAACACGUGGAUAACCUACCUAUAAGACUGGGAUAACUUCGGGAAACCGGAGCUAAUACCGGAUGAUAUUUUGAACCGCAUGGUUCAAAAGUGAAAGACGGUCUUGCUGUCACUUAUAGAUGGAUCCGCGCUGCAUUAGCUAGUUGGUAAGGUAACGGCUUACCAAGGCAACGAUGCAUAGCCGACCUGAGAGGGUGAUCGGCCACACUGGAACUGAGACACGGUCCAGACUCCUACGGGAGGCAGCAGUAGGGAAUCUUCCGCAAUGGGCGAAAGCCUGACGGAGCAACGCCGCGUGAGUGAUGAAGGUCUUCGGAUCGUAAAACUCUGUUAUUAGGGAAGAACAUAUGUGUAAGUAACUGUGCACAUCUUGACGGUACCUAAUCAGAAAGCCACGGCUAACUACGUG